GCGAUGAAGCGGGAGGUUGCGGCACAUAUUGUUAAAAAUAUGUAGUCGGUUUUUCCGUGGAGUAUGUCCGAUUUUAAACCGGGCGACA
rnacentral:ncRNA from 1 species